ACGAACGCUGGCGGCGUGCUUAACACAUGCAAGUCGAACGGACGGACCGGACCGAAGCCUCGGGCGGAGGACCGGCGAGUUAGUGGCGGACGGGUGAGUAACGCGUGGGUAACCUGCCCUGUACAGGGGGACAACAGCUGGAAACGGCUGCUAAUACCGCGUACGCUGCACAGAUCGCAUGGUCAGUGCAGGAAAGAUGGCCUCUUAGCAAUGCUAUCGGUACAGGAUGGACCCCGCGUCUGAUUAGGUAGUUGGUGAGGUAACGGCUCACCCAAGCCGACGAUCAGUAGCCGGCCUGAGAGGGUGGCCGGCCACAUUGGGACUGAGACACGGCCCAGACUCCUACGGGAGGCAGCAGUGGGGAAUCUUCCGCAAUGGGCGCAAGCCUGACGGAGCAACGCCCGCGUGAGUGAAGAAGGCCUUCGGGUCGUAAAGCUCUGUCUUUAGGGACGAAAAACCGUAGUGAAAACAUUGCUACGGCCUGACGGUACCUGAGGAGGAAGCUCCGGCUAACUACGUGCCAGCCGCCGC
rnacentral:rRNA from 1 species